GUGGGGAAUCUUAGACAAUGGGGGAAACCCUGAUCUAGCCAUGCCGCGUGAUCGAUGAAGGCCUUAGGGUUGUAAAGAUCUUUCAGGUGGGAAGAUAAUGACUGUACCACCAGAAGAAGCCCCGGCUAACUCCGUGCCAGCAGCCGCGGUAAUACGGAGGGGGCUAGCGUUGUUCGGAAUUACUGGGCGUAAAGCGCACGUAGGCGGAUUGGAAAGUUGGGGGUGAAAUCCCGGGGCUCAACCCCGGAACUGCCUUCAAAACUCCUGGUCUGGAGUUCGAGAGAGGUGAGUGGAAUUCCGAGUGUAGAGGUGAAAUUCGUAGAUAUUCGGAGGAACACCAGUGGCGAAGGCGGCUCACUGGCUCGAUACUGACGCUGAGGUGCGAAAGCGUGGGGAGCAAACAGGAUUAGAAACCCCGGUAGUCC
rnacentral:rRNA from 1 species